CCUACGGGAGGCAGCAGUGAGGAAUAUUGGUCAAUGGGCGCGAGCCUGAACCAGCCACGUCGCGUGAAGGAUGACUGCCCUACGGGUUGUAAACUUCUUUUAUAAAGGAAUAAAGUGAGGCACGUGUGCCUUUUUGUAUGUCCUUUAUGAAUAAGGAUCGGCUAACUCCGUGCCAGCAGCCGCGGUAAUACGGAGGAUCCGGGCGUUAUCCGGAUUUAUUGGGGUUAAAGGGAGCGUAGAUGGGUUGUUAAGUCAGUUGUGAAAGUUUGCGGCUCAACCGUAAAAUUGCAAUUGAUACUGGCGGCCUUGAGUACAGUUGAGGUAGGCGGAAUUCGUGGUGUAGCGGUGAAAUGCUUAGAUAUCAGGAGGAACUCCGAUGGCGAAGGCAGCUUACUAAACUGCCACUGACAUUGAUGAUCGAAAGUGUGGGUAGCAAACAGGAUUAGAUACCCCAGUAGUC
rnacentral:rRNA from 1 species